CCUACGGGAGGCAGCAGUGGGGAAUUUUGGACAAUGGGCACAAGCCUGAUCCAGCAAUGCCGCGUGCAGGAAGAAGGCCUUCGGGUUGUAAACUGCUUUUGUCAGGGAAGAAAUCCUCUGGGUUAAUACCUCGGGGGGAUGACGGUACCUGAAGAAUAAGCACCGGCUAACUACGUGCCAGCAGCCGCGGUAA
rnacentral:rRNA from 1 species